rnacentral:misc_RNA from 1 species
UUGGAAUGAUGAAACAAGUGAAAUUCUCGUUUUCUUUUCCUAACAGAUUAUGGAUAUAAUCAAAUUAAAUUCAAAGUUUUAUUUUAAUUCCACGCCUUUAUUUGUUUUAAACUCCAAAUUUGAUCUGAAUUUGAUUUAGACGCUACUCGAUUCAUUAUUAAUUCGAUCAAAAUGGCCAACUUAAGAAGAUUAUUCACUUAAAA